rnacentral:rRNA from 1 species
GACGAACGCUGGCGGCGUGCUUAACACAUGCAAGUCGAACGGAAAGGCCCUGCUUUUGUGGGGUGCUCGAGUGGCGAACGGGUGAGUAACACGUGAGUAACCUGCCCUUGACUUUGGGAUAACUUCAGGAAACUGGGGCUAAUACCGGAUAGGAGCUCCUGCUGCAUGGUGGGGGUUGGAAAGUUUCGGCGGUUGGGGAUGGACUCGCGGCUUAUCAGCUUGUUGGUGGGGUAGUGGCUUACCAAGGCUUUGACGGGUAGCCGGCCUGAGAGGGUGACCGGGCACAAUGGGACUAAGAUACGGCCCAGACGCCUACGGUAGGCAGCAGUGGGGAAUAUUGCACAAUGGGCGGAAGCCUGAUGCAGCAACGCCGCGUGCGGGAUGACGUCUUUCGGGUUGUAAACCGCUUUCGCCUGUGACGAAGCGUGAGUGACGGUAAUGGGUAAAGAAGCACCGGCUAACUACGUG